rnacentral:rRNA from 1 species
AUCAACGCUGGCGGCGUGCCUCAGACAUGCAAGUCGAACGCGAAAGUCCCCUUCGGGGGAUUAGUAGAGUGGCGUCCGGGUGAGUAACACGUAGGUAAUCUACCUUCGGGUGGGGAAUAACGCAGGGAAACUUGCGCUAAUACCGCAUAAUGCAGCGGCACCACAUGGUGACAGUUGUUAAAGCGGGGGAUUUUCGAACCUCGCGCCUGAAGAGGAGCCUGCGGCAGAUUAGCUAGUUGGUAAGGUAAUGGCUUACCAAGGCGACGAUCUGUAACCGGCCUGAGAGGGCGGUCGGUCACACUGACACUGACAUACGGGUCAGACUCCUACGGGAGGCAGCAGUCGGGAAUUUUGGGCAAUGGGCGAAAGCCUGACCCAGCAACGCCGCGUGAAGGAUGAAAUCCCUCGGGAUGUAAACUUCGCAAGAAUGGGAAGAAUGAGUAGGGGCUAAUACUCCCUAUGAUGACGGUACCAUUUGUAAGCUCCGGCUAACUCCGUGCCAGCAGCCGCGGGUAAUACGGGGGGAGCAAGCGUUGUUCGGAUUUACUGGGCGUAAAGGGCGCGUAGGCGGCCAGCACAAGUCAGUUGUGAAAUCUCCGGGCUUAACUCGGAAAGGUCAACUGAUACUGUGCGGCUAGAGUGCAGAAGGGGCAACUGGAAUUCUCGGUGUAGCGGUGAAAUGCGUAGAUAUUAGCAGGAACACCGGUGGCGAAGGCGGCUAUCUGGACGACAACUGACGCUGAGGCGCGAAAGCAUGGGGAUCAAACAGGAUUAGAUACCCUGGUAGUCCAUGCCAUAAACGAUGGGUACUAGCUGUUAGAGGGUUUCCCUUUAGUAGCGCAGCUAACGCGUUAAGCACCCCGCCUGGGGAGUACGGUCGCAAGAUUAAAACUCAAAGAAAUUGACGGGGACCCGCACAAGCGGUGGAACAUGUGGUUUAAUUCGAGGCAACGCGAAGAACCUUACCAGGAUUCGACAUGCCCUCUAUGGAACCCCGAAAAGGGUUCCUUCACUUCGGGUGGGAGGAGCACAGGUGCUGCAUGGCUGUCGUCAGCUCGUGUCGUGAGAUGUUGGGUUAAGUCCCGCAACGAGCGCAACCCUCAUCCUCUGUUGCUAACAGGUAAUGCUGAGAACUCUGAGGAAACUGCCGGUGAUAAGCCGGAGGAAGGUGGGGAUGACGUCAAGUCCUCAUGGCCCUUACAUCCUGGGCUACACACGUGUUACAAUGGUGGUGACAAUGCGACGCUAACCCGCAAGGGCACGCAAAUCGCUAAAAGCCACCUCAGUUCGGAUUGUACUCUGCAACUCGAGUACAUGAAGCUGGAAUCGCUAGUAAUCGUGGAUCAGCACGCCACGGUGAAUACGUUCCCGGGUCUUGUACACACCGCCCGUCACACCAUGGGAGUUGGUUCUACCUUAAGUCGUCCUCGGACGCCUACGGUAGGGUCAAUGACUGGGGUGAAGUCGUAACAAGGUAA